rnacentral:rRNA from 1 species
UACGUAGGGCGCAAGCGUUAUCCGGAAUUAUUGGGCGUAAAGAGCUCGUAGGCGGUUUGUCGCGUCUGCCGUGAAAGUCCGGGGCUCAACUCCGGAUCUGCGGUGGGUACGGGCAGACUAGAGUGAUGUAGGGGAGACUGGAAUUCCUGGUGUAGCGGUGAAAUGCGCAGAUAUCAGGAGGAAUACCGAUGGCGAAGGCAGGUCUCUGGGCAUUAACUGACGCUGAGGAGCGAAAGCAUGGGGAGCGAACAGG